rnacentral:rRNA from 1 species
GGUUUGAAUUCAAGCGUCUUAAGGGCAUCUGGUGAAUGCCUUGGCGAUCAGAGGCGAUGAAGGACGUGGUACGCUGCGAUAAGCUGCGGUUAGGGGCGAACACCCAUUGACCCGCAGAUCUCCGAAUGGGGGAACCCACCGCUUUAUGCGGUAUCCUGCACUGAAUUCAUAGGUGCAGCGAAGCGAACCUGGGGAAUUGAAACAUCUCAGUACCCAGAGGAAAGGAAAUCAACCGAGACUCCGUUAGUAGUGGCGAGCGAACGCGGACCAGCCCAAUGGCAGUUGUGUAAGAACUAGAAGUGUCUGGAAAGGCACACCAAAGUAGGUGAUAGUCCUGUAUAGGUAGAAAGCACAAAUGUCUAUGAGUAAGGCGGGACACGAGUAAUCCUGUCUGAACAUGGGGGGACCAUCCUCCAAGGCUAAGUACUACUGAUCGACCGAUAGUGAACCAGUACCGUGAGGGAAAGGUGAAAAGUACCCCGAUAAGGGGAGUGAAACAGACCUGAAACCGGAUGCCUACAAACAGUCGGAGCCUCUUUAUGGGGUGACGGCGUACCUUUUGUAUAAUGGGUCAGAGAGUUAGUGUUGCAUGCGAGCUUAAGCCGGUAGGUGUAGGCGCAGGGAAACCGAGUCUGAAUAGGGCGACCAAGUAUGCAGCAUUAGACCCGAAAGCCGACGAUCUAGCCAUGGGCAGGUUGAAGUUAGGGUAACACCUAAUGGAGGACCGAACUCAUCACUGUUGAAAAAGUGUGGGAUGACCUGUGGUUAGGGGUGAAAGGCCAAUCAAGUCGGCUAAUAGCUGGUUCUCCGCGAAAACUAUUUAGGUAGUGCGUCAUGCGAAUACCCCGGGGGGUAGAGCACUGGAUGGGCUAGGGGGGCGCGAGCCUUACCAAACCCAACCAAACUCCGAAUACCCGGGAGUAAUACAUGGCAGACAGUCUUAGGGUGAUAAGGUCCUAGGACGAGAGGGAAACAGCCCAGACCUACAGCUAAGGUCCCCAAAUCAUGACUAAGUGGGAAAGGAUGUAGAAACUCCAAGACAACCAGGAUGUUGGCUUAGAAGCAGCCAUCAUUUAAAGAAAGCGUAAUAGCUCACUGGUCUAAAUAAGAGUUUCCGCGCCGAAGAUGUUACGGGGCUCAAGUCAUGUACCGAAGCUUAGGACUCCUACGGGAGUGGUAGCGGAGCGUUCUGUAAGCCUGCGAAGGUGACUCGUGAGAGUUGCUGGAGGUAUCAGAAGUGAGAAUUCUGACAUAAGUAGCGACAAACAGUGUGAGAAUCACUGUCGCCGAAAGUCCAAGGGUUCCUGCGCAAGGCUAAUCCGCGCAGGGUGAGCCGGUCCCUAAGGCGAGGCCGAAAGGCGUAGUCGAUGGGAAUCACGUUAAUAUUCGUGAGCCAGAUGGAGGUGACGGCGGCCGAAAGCAGUAUGCUCUUAACGGAUUGAGUGUGCUGCCUGGGACGUCCAGGAAAUAGCCCCAUCAUUAUUGACCGUACCCGAAACCGACACAGGUGGACUGGUAGAGUAUACCAAGGCGCUUGAGAGAACUGUUCUGAAGGAACUCGGCAAAUUACUUGCGUAACUUCGGGAUAAGCAAGCCCGGCCUAUGGGCAACCAAUGGCCGGGGACACAAACCAGGGGGUGGCGACUGUUUAUCAAAAACACAGGGCUCUGCGAAGUCUAAAGACGACGUAUAGGGUCUGACGCCUGCCCGGUGCUGGAAGGUUAAGAGGAGGUGUGCAAGCACUGAAUCGAAGCCCCAGUAAACGGCGGCCGUAACUAUAACGGUCCUAAGGUAGCGAAAUUCCUUGUCGGGUAAGUUCCGACCUGCACGAAUGGCGUAACGACUUCCCCACUGUCUCCAGAGCAGACUCAGCGAAAUUGAAUUCCUCGUGAAGAUGCGGGGUUCCCGCGGUUAGACGGAAAGACCCUAUGAACCUUUACUAUAGCUUUGCAGUGGCAUCAGGAUUGUCAUGUGUAGGAUAGGUGGGAGACUUUGAAGCAUGGGCGCCAGCUCGUGUGGAGUCGUCCUUGAAAUACCACCCUUGAUUUUCCUGGUGUCUAACGGCAUCCCGUUAUCCGGGAUCCGGACCCUGCAUGGUGGGUAGUUUGACUGGGGCGGUCGCCUCCCAAACAGUAACGGAGGCGCGCGAUGGUAGGCUCAGGUUGGUCGGAAAUCAACUUUUGAGUGCAAUGGCAUAAGCCUGCCUGACUGCGAGACUGACAAGUCGAGCAGAGUGGAAACACGGUCAUAGUGAUCUGGUGCACUCGUAUGGAAGAUGCAUCACUUAACGAAUAAAAGGUACUCUAGGGAUAACAGGCUGAUAGCGCCCAAGCGUCCCCAGCGACGGCGCUGUUUGGCACCUCGAUGUCGGCUCAUCUCAUCCUGGGGCUGGAGCAGGUCCCAAGGGUAUGGCUGUUCGCCAUUUAAAGAGGUACGUGAGCUGGGUUCAGAACGUCGUGAGACAGUUCGGUCCCUAUCUGCCGUGGGUGUUGGAAACUUGAGAGGAGCUGUCCUUAGUACGAGAGGACCGGGAUGGACACACCUCUGGUGCACCAGUUGUCACGCCAGUGGCACAGCUGGGUAGCUAUGUGUGGAAGGGAUAAAUGCUGAAUGCAUCUAAGCGUGAAGCCCCCCUCAAAACAAGGUUUCCCUAUCAGAGCCGUGGAAGACCACCACGUUGAUAGGACAGGUGUGGAAGAGCGGCAACGCUUGAAGCUAACUGUUACUAAUUGCUCGAUCGGCUUGAAUUCACUCCAUGU